rnacentral:sRNA from 1 species
UCGGAGACUACCAGCACUUUCACCGGC